CUGGAUUGGUAGGAUAGGGGACUGGAAAUCCUCGU
rnacentral:tRNA from 2 species